AUUGAACGCUGGCGGAAUGCUUUACACAUGCAAGUCGAACGGCAGCACGGACUUCGGUCUGGUGGCGAGUGGCGAACGGGUGAGUAACAUAUCGGAACGUAUCCAAUAAUGGGGGAUAACUAAUCGAAAGGUUGGCUAAUACCGCAUACGCCCUACGGGGGAAAGCAGGGGAUCUUCGGACCUUGCGUUAAUGGAGCGGCGGAUAUCUGUUUAGCUAGUGGGUGAGGUAAAGGCUCACCAAGGCGAGGAUCAGUAGCUGGUCUGAGAGGACGACCAGCCACACUGGAACUGAGACACGGUCCAGACUCCUACGGGAGGCAGCAGUGGGGAAUUUUGGACAAUGGGCGCAAGCCUGAUCCAGCCAUUCCGCGUGAGUGAAGAAGGCCUUCGGGUUGUAAAGCUCUUUCGCAAGGGAAGAAAACUUACUUUCUAAUAAAGAGUGAGGUUGCCGGUACCUUGAUAAGAAGCACCGGCUAACUACGUGCCAGCCGCCGCCGUAA
rnacentral:rRNA from 1 species